GCUGUGGAUUGUCCGUAGGACAAUGGUAGGAGAGCGUUCUAAGGGCGUUGAAGCAUGAUCGCAAGGACAUGUGGAGCGCUUAGAAGUGAGAAUGCCGGUGUGAGUAGCGAAAGACGGGUGAGAAUCCCGUCCACCGAUUGACUAAGGUUUCCAGAGGAAGGCUCGUCCGCUCUGGGUUAGUCGGGUCCUAAGCUGAGGCCGACAGGCGUAGGCGAUGGAUAACAGGUUGAUAUUCCUGUACCACCAAUAUUCGUU
rnacentral:rRNA from 1 species